rnacentral:lncRNA from 1 species
UUUUGAAGUGUCUAUAAUGUUGACCACAACCAUACCCUCUGACCUUCGAAAUACUAAACUCUAAACUCUAAUCACUAAACCAUAACACAAAUAUAAACUCUAAACCCAAAUAUAAAUCUUAAACCCAAAUAGAAUGGAACAAAAUAAAUAACAUAGUACAUAUGAGUGAAAUUAUGAAAUGUAUACGAUUGCAUGUAAGAAGUUAAUGUUGACCCUAACUGUACCCCUUCACCUUUUAAAUACUAAACCCUAAACUCAAAUCACUAAACCUUAAUCCAAAUAUAAACCCUAAACCCAAAUA